rnacentral:rRNA from 1 species
UUGGCUUUUAAAUGGAGUCUGGAAUGAAAGGGAAAUUGGAGUUUAACUUUUUUAUUAAAAUUUUAUUGAAUUUACUAUAAAAGUGAAAAAGCUUUUUUAUGAAAAAAGACGAGAAGACCCUUGGAGUUUACUUUAUUUUUGUUGGGGCGACAUUAAAAAUAAAACUUUUAUAUUUAUACUAAUCAACUUUUAGUUAUAAUUUAUAAACUACCCAAGGGAUAACAGCAUAAUUCUUUUGAGAUUGUGACCUCGAUCGUUGGUACUAGGCAAAGAUCAAUUACUAGUAGUUAUUAUUUUAGGUUCUGUUCGAACUUAUUUCUCCU